CGCUGACGGUGCUCUCGAGCCGUCUAUCAAACUCGACUCGGGGCUGGAUUAUUACAUAGAUGUUGAUUAUCAAGUGGGUGAUGGCUUCUCUUUCAGUGGAGGUGCCUAUUCUCUUUUCCACUACCUCUUUUAUUUGCUAAAUGGCCUUUCCAAGUUUUUCAGUACUAGUAACUGAGGAAGUUUUUGACAUGAAAGUAUUCAAAUGGACCAAGCCCUUCUGAUGAAUGGUUCAAGCAGGGGAAGAUAGUGCUUAUAUUUCUCUUGGUUCUGGUGAGAAGGUCCAAUCUUGGACUUGCAAUGGGUGCUGAUUCUCAGGCAGCUGCUGAUGUUUUUAGGUAAAUUUGUACAUUUAGCUUUAGAGGACUAGCGGCUGGCAUGUUUGAAACAGUGUGGUUUAUACUUUUAUAGUAUAUGAGUCACGCAGACAAUGAGUGUGGAAUUUGCAGGGUUUACCAAUUGUCUCACUCUACAAUAAUUUCACUUUUAAGAGAGUUAUUGAAGUUGUUAUUUUG